rnacentral:rRNA from 1 species
AACGUAGGUGGCAAGCGUUAUCCGGAAUUACUGGGCGUAAAGGGUGUGCAGGCGGGGUAGCAAGUGGGGUAUGAAAUCUCCCAGCUUAACUGGGAUAGGUUAUGCCAUACUGCUUUUCUAGAGGACGAGAGAGGGGGGUGGAAUUCCGGGUGUAGUGGUGAAAUGCGUAGAGAUCGGGAAGAACAUCAGUGGCGAAGGCGGCCUGCUGGGCUGUUGCUGACGCUGAGGCGCGACAGCGUGGGGAGCAAACAGG